ACUCACUCAACCUGGGUGUGAUGUCCGUUGAGAGCCCGUCACAACCUCCUUGAGUGAGCGA
rnacentral:pre_miRNA from 2 species